rnacentral:rRNA from 1 species
AGCGAACGCUGGCGGCAGGCCUAACACAUGCAAGUCGAGCGCCCCGCAAGGGGAGCGGCAGACGGGAGAGUAACACGUGGGAACGUGCCCUUUGGUUCGGAACAACCCAGGGAAACUAGGGCUAAUACCGGAUAAGCCCUCACGGGGAAAGAUUUAUCGCCAAAGGAUCGGCCCGCGUCUGAUUAGCUAGUUGGUGGGGUAACGGCCCACCAAGGCGACGAUCAGUAGCUGGUCUGAGAGGAUGAUCAGCCUCACUGGGACUGAGACACGGCCCAGACUCCUACGGGAGGCAGCAGUGGGGAAUAUUGGACAAUGGGCGCAAGCCUGAUCCAGCCAUGCCGCGUGGGUGAUGAAGGCCCUAGGGUUGUAAAGCCCUUUCGGCGGGGAAGAUAAUGACGGUACCCGCAGAAGAAGCCCCGGCUAACUUCGUGCCAGCCGCCGCGGUAA